rnacentral:rRNA from 1 species
ACGAAGUAGCAAUACUUAGUGGCAGACGGGUGAGUAACAUGUGGGUAUCUGCCCUUUGGCCUGGAAUAACACGAGGAAACUUGUGCUAAUACCGGAUAAGUCUUUACGGAGAAAGCUUUAUGCACCAUUGGAUGAGCCUGCACUUGAUUAGUUUGUUGGUGGGGUAAUGGCCUACCAAGACUGUGAUCAAUAGCUGAUUUGAGAGGAUGAUCAGCCACAUUGGGACUGAGACACGGCCCAAACUCCUACGGGAGGCAGCAGUGGGGAAUCUUGCACAAUGGAGGAAACUCUGAUGCAGCGAUGCCGCGUGAGUGAAGAAGGCCCUUGGGUUGUAAAGCUCUUUCGUCGGGGAAGAAAAUGACUGUACCCGAAUAAGAAGGUCCGGCUAACUUCG